GCCAUGACCAGCAUUUCGAAGCAUUUCAUGGCUACAGAUGGGGCGAUACAGGUGGAGGCAAUCUGAUUUCGAGGGAACCUGAGGCUACAUAUACGUUGUGGUUGUGCAAACCCCAACACUGAAAGAGAGUGCCAACAACCCCCACAGACUCAUCCCUCCUGUCCCACUACCAAACAAGCAAGAUUAUCUCCAGGAACAUCAGUGCAAAGGGCUUGGUAGGAAACUUUUGUUCAUACAGAAUGGCAGACAUUAUGCUCGUUACAAGUACUGUAUUUGACCUUUCCUGAUGAAACUUGAGAAAUUAAUACACAAUUACAUUGAGUUAUAAUCAAUACUAUGAAAAGGCCAUUGACACUUGCGCUAAUAAGUGAUUUCAAUACAUUGAUAUUACUUUUUUUUCUCCCAUUAGCAUCAACACUAACAGAACCAUGGAUCACGUGGACUACUUGCUGCAUGAUAAACUGACCACAUAAAUCUCUGUUAUGUAAAAAUCCACAUAAUCCACAAUUAAAAACUUUGCAAGGUAAAA